CCCAGCAGUUAUAUCACCCUGCAGUGCACAACUGGCAACCCACUGAAGCUCAGCAGGUGUGAGCCUGGUCAGUACCUGGAUGGGAGACCACCUGGGAAAGCUGAGGCUGCUGCUGGAA
rnacentral:rRNA from 1 species